CCUACGGGCGGCAGCAGUGAGGAAUAUUGGUCAAUGGGCGGGAGCCUGAACCAGCCAAGUCGCGUGAGGGACGACGGUCCUAUGGAUUGUAAACCUCUUUUGUCGGGGAACAAAGGCGCCCACGGGUGGGCGGAUGAGUGUACCCGAAGAAAAAGCAUCGGCUAACUCCGUGCCAGCAGCCGCGGUAAUACGGAGGAUGCGAGCGUUAUCCGGAUUUAUUGGGUUUAAAGGGUGCGUAGGCGGACAGUCAAGUCAGCGGUAAAAAUGCGGUGCUCAACGCCGUACAGCCGUUGAAACUGGCAGUCUUGAGUGGGCGAGAAGUAUGCGGAAUGCGUGGUGUAGCGGUGAAAUGCAUAGAUAUCACGCAGAACUCCGAUUGCGAAGGCGACUAUCUGGCACAUAACUGACGCUGAGGAGCGAAAGCGUGGGUAGCAAACAGGAUUAGAUACCCCUGUAGUC
rnacentral:rRNA from 1 species